GACGAACGCUGGCGGCGUGCUUAACACAUGCAAGUCGAACGGAAAGGCCCUGCUUGCAGGGUACUCGAGUGGCGAACGGGUGAGUAACACGUGGGUGAUCUGCCCUGCACUUCGGGAUAAGCCUGGGAAACUGGGUCUAAUACCGGAUAGGAGCCAUUUUUAGUGUGAUGGUUGGAAAGUUUUUUCGGUGUAGGAUGAGCUCGCGGCCUAUCAGCUUGUUGGUGGGGUAAUGGCCUACCAAGGCGGCGACGGGUAGCCGGCCUGAGAGGGUGGACGGCCACAUUGGGACUGAGAGACGGCCCAGACUCCUACGGGAGGCAGCAGUGGGGAAUAUUGCACAAUGGGCGCAAGCCUGAUGCAGCGACGCCGCGUGGGGGAUGACGGCCUUCGGGUGGUAAACUCCUUUCGCUAGGGACGAAGCUUUUUGUGACGGUACCUAGAUAAGAAGCACCGGCGAACUACG
rnacentral:rRNA from 1 species